rnacentral:rRNA from 1 species
UAUCAUUAACUGAAUCCAUAGGUUAAUGAGGCGAACCGGGGGAACUGAAACAUCUAAGUACCCCGAGGAAAAGAAAUCAACCGAGAUUCCCCCAGUAGCGGCGAGCGAACGGGGAGGAGCCCAGAGCCUGAAUCAGCAUGUGUGUUAGUGGAAGCGUCUGGAAAGGCGCGCGAUACAGGGUGACAGCCCCGUACACAAAAGCGCAUGUGCUGUGAGCUCGAUGAGUAGGGCGGGACACGUGGUAUCCUGUCUGAAUAUGGGGGGACCAUCCUCCAAGGCUAAAUACUCCUGACUGACCGAUAGUGAACCAGUACCGUGAGGGAAAGGCGAAAAGAACCCCGGCGAGGGGAGUGAAAAAGAACCUGAAACCGUGUACGUACAAGCAGUGGGAGCACCCUUUGGGUGUGACUGCGUACCUUUUGUAUAAUGGGUCAGCGACUUAUAUUCUGUAGCAAGGUUAACCGAAUAGGGGAGCCGGAGGGAAACCGAGUCUUAACCGGGCGUUAAGUUGCAGGGUAUAGACCCGAAACCCGGUGAUCUAGCCAUGGGCAGGUUGAAGGUUGGGUAACACUAACUGGAGGACCGAACCGACUAAUGUUGAAAAAUUAGCGGAUGACCUGUGGCUGGGGGUGAAAGGCCAAUCAAACCGGGAGAUAGCUGGUUCUCCCCGAAAGCUAUUUAGGUAGCGCCUCGUGAAUUCAUCUCCGGGGGUAGAGCACUGUUUCGGCUAGGGGGCCAUCCCGGCUUACCAACCCGAUGCAAACUGCGAAUACCGGAGAAUGUUAUCACGGGAGACACACGGCGGGUGCUAACGUCCGUCGUGAAGAGGGAAACAACCCAGACCGCCAGCUAAGGUCCCAAAGUCAUGGUUAAGUGGGAAACGAUGUGGGAAGGCCCAGACAGCCAGGAUGUUGGCUUAGAAGCAGCCAUCAUUUAAAGAAAGCGUAAUAGCUCACUGGUCGAGUCGGCCUGCGCGGAAGAUGUAACGGGGCUAAACCAUGCACCGAAGCUGCGGCAGCGACACUGUGUGUUGUUGGGUAGGGGAGCGUUCUGUAAGCCUGUGAAGGUGUGUCGUGAGGCAUGCUGGAGGUAUCAGAAGUGCGAAUGCUGACAUAAGUAACGAUAAAGCGGGUGAAAAGCCCGCUCGCCGGAAGACCAAGGGUUCCUGUCCAACGUUAAUCGGGGCAGGGUGAGUCGACCCCUAAGGCGAGGCCGAAAGGCGUAGUCGAUGGGAAACGGGUUAAUAUUCCCGUACUUGGUGUUACUGCGAAGGGGGGACGGAGAAGGCUAUGUUGGCCGGGCGACGGUUGUCCCGGUUUAAGCGUGUAGGUGUGUGUUCCAGGUAAAUCCGGUUCACUUUAACACUGAGGCGUGACGACGAGGCACUACGGUGCUGAAGCAACAAAUGCCCUGCUUCCAGGAAAAGCCUCUAAGCAUCAGGUAACAUCAAAUCGUACCCCAAACCGACACAGGUGGUCAGGUAGAGAAUACCAAGGCGCUUGAGAGAACUCGGGUGAAGGAACUAGGCAAAAUGGUGCCGUAACUUCGGGAGAAGGCACGCUGACACGUAGGUGAAGUGAUUUACUCAUGGAGCUGAAGUCAGUCGAAGAUACCAGCUGGCUGCAACUGUUUAUUAAAAACACAGCACUGUGCAAACACGAAAGUGGACGUAUACGGUGUGACGCCUGCCCGGUGCCGGAAGGUUAAUUGAUGGGGUCAGCGCAAGCGAAGCUCCUGAUCGAAGCCCCGGUAAACGGCGGCCGUAACUAUAACGGUCCUAAGGUAGCGAAAUUCCUUGUCGGGUAAGUUCCGACCUGCACGAAUGGCGUAAUGAUGGCCAGGCUGUCUCCACCCGAGACUCAGUGAAAUUGAACUCGCUGUGAAGAUGCAGUGUACCCGCGGCAAGACGGAAAGACCCCGUGAACCUUUACUAUAGCUUGACACUGAACAUUGAGCCUUGAUGUGUAGGAUAGGUGGGAGGCUUUGAAGUGUGGACGCCAGUCUGCAUGGAGCCGACCUUGAAAUACCACCCUUUAAUGUUUGAUGUUCUAACGUGGACCCGUUACCCGGGUUGCGGACAGUGUCUGGUGGGUAGUUUGACUGGGGCGGUCUCCUCCUAAAGAGUAACGGAGGAGCACGAAGGUUGGCUAAUCCUGGUCGGACAUCAGGAGGUUAGUGCAAUGGCAUAAGCCAGCUUGACUGCGAGCGUGACGGCGCGAGCAGGUGCGAAAGCAGGUCAUAGUGAUCCGGUGGUUCUGAAUGGAAGGGCCAUCGCUCAACGGAUAAAAGGUACUCCGGGGAUAACAGGCUGAUACCGCCCAAGAGUUCAUAUCGACGGCGGUGUUUGGCACCUCGAUGUCGGCUCAUCACAUCCUGGGGCUGAAGUAGGUCCCAAGGGUAUGGCUGUUCGCCAUUUAAAGUGGUACGCGAGCUGGGUUUAGAACGUCGUGAGACAGUUCGGUCCCUAUCUGCCGUGGGCGCUGGAGAACUGAGGGGGGCUGCUCCUAGUACGAGAGGACCGGAGUGGACGCAUCACUGGUGUUCGGGUUGUCAUGCCAAUGGCACUGCCCGGUAGCUAAAUGCGGAAGAGAUAAGUGCUGAAAGCAUCUAAGCACGAAACUUGCCCCGAGAUGAGUUCUCCCUGAGACUUAAAGUCUCCUGAAGGAACGUUGAAGACGACGACGUUGAUAGGCCGGGUGUGUAAGCGCAGCGAUGCGUUGAGCUAACCGGUACUAAUGAAC